AUGAUCUAUAGAAUGAAGAAGAGAAAGAAAAAGAGGAGGUUCCACAGAAGGUUGGAGGUGUAUGGUGAUGAUGAUGAACGAGUAAGAGAGAAGAAGAAGUCAUCUCCGCAAAAUCCUUCUGAAAUACCAUUGCCAUUAGACUUGAAUUUAACCAUAUACUGCCUGCCAAACGAUGCUUCAGUAACUGCUAUUCUUCCAAGAAAACUCAACCACUUGAAGACCAUUGCCCAAAAAUCUUGCAGGAGUAGUGGGAAUUGGAAGGCCAUCUAUAGUUAA
rnacentral:lncRNA from 1 species